rnacentral:lncRNA from 1 species
AGGACCUCAGCUUCAUGGGUUUACUGACACUCUGCUCAGAAGCCUUUCUACCACUUCAUCAUCUCCGAGAGACAGCAUGGCCGCAGUGUCUCCCAGCUGCCAUCUCCCUUCCCGCAUGGCUUCUCCAGACUACUGAAAGCAUGCCCGAGAGUCAGGGUGGCAGCCCAGGGGACACUUGUUCAAAUUCUAUAUCUAUGUUCAAAUUCUAUCCCUCUUUCUUUCUUGCUGUGUGAUCUUGAAUGACCUCUUCGUGGUGUCUCCAUUUCUACAUUGAUGAAAAGCAGGGUCUAGAAUACAGGAAAGAUGAACGGCUUGCUCCGGAACAUCACCUGCCAGCCUGGUUCUGGAACAGCUCUGUACCUGCCAGGUUGAAAUAUUGGAAGGAAUGCAGCCAUUGCGGGAAGCCCUGGACCGUCCCUCUUUAUGGUCUGUCUGAAGAGACUAGACUGGCACACAGAGCCAAUGACAUGAUCCUUGUGAGCUGAGACCUGCAAACAACCUUGGUGUCUGUCAACUGAAGAUUGCAAAAUGACAACGUGAUGCCGUACAGCUGGAAUACUCCUCAGCCAUUACAGAGGAAAAAAAAAUGACAUCCUGUCAUCAGAAAGCAGCACAGGUGGAGGUGGAUCCCGUGUUAGAUGGAGUAAGUCAGGCCCAGAGAGAGACACAUCAUGUGGCCUCACUCAUGUGUGCAAGGUCAAGGACGUUGAUCUCCCAGAAGCUGGGGAUAAAACUGUGACCACCAAAGAUGAAAGAGCAAGGAGAGGUGGAGACACACAGCUUGUUUGGAGGGGUGAUUCCAGGCCUUACUAAUCUCCAUGUAUGUUCAGUCUCCAUGUGUGUGUACAUCAGCUAAAAAUAUAAUCCCAGCUCUGAUGGUAGCACACAUGUAAUCCCAGCUCUGAUGGUAGCACACAGGUAACCCCAGCUCUGAUGGUAGCACACAUGUGCCACUCAUCUCGUCUCAAAGCACAAAGUAAAAAAAAAAAACAUCUUCAAUCAAGCUCUGAUCAUUUGAGGGUCAUCUUCUCCAAGCCACAGCAAGCAGAAGGGACACUAUUGGAGUAGACUCUGAGCCCCUCCCCCAAUGACUUCUGGUCCUACAUGCUACCCUAGGGAAGGAGAGUGAGUGUCCCCAGCCCCCAGAAAGAAGUGACUGACAACCCAAAACCCAGGACAAGCAAAAGAGAGGAACAUAGGUUUGGUCCCCCGCCCACUCACCCAACAGUACUGAGAUUUCCAUCCAAGGAUCCCAGGCAGUUGGAAACCAACAUUAUAUCAGGACACUGUCAUCUGAACCCCUCUUCUGGAAUACCGAGGCUCACACUGCUAUGUACAAUCUGUGGAGGAGCCACACCUCUAAUAGCAUGUGAGUAACCAGAGAGGUCAGGGCCUGGGACCCAGAAAAUCGAGACUCCAGUUACCCUAUGCAAGGACUCCAGGGCAAAGAGGAGCUUCCUGAAUCCACAACAGACUCUUAAGUGCUGCUUCUGUGCCCUCGAAGGACUUGAGGCCACGGUGGCAGCUGGAUCCAGUGCUCAGGAGGGUGGAUGCUGGGGGUUCCCCAGGAUGCCUGGGCCUCCCCACUAAGCAGAUGAAUAGAAACACAGGUGCUGCUUCAGACUGUUCACAGACACUAACUGAUUUGUCCUGUGCUCCAGGAGGGGUGUGAUUCUGCCAGCUAAAGAUAGUUUACAUGUUGGAAUUCUGAAGACUCUCCAGAGGGUAUAAUGCCAGAGCUGAGAGACUGAGGGGGCUGCUGCUGCUGCUGCUGCUGCUGCUGCUGCUGCUGCUGCUGCCUCUGCUGGUGGUGGUGGUGAUGGUGGUUCCUGCUUCUGUGUUUGCUGUUUGCCGGAUUGCGUGUGUUGUUGCUGGUUGCAGGAAUCUGAUGCAGGAAGUAGUCAAUUGUAUGACUACAGAGUUCAGCCCUGGACCACAGCCCUUGGGCUGCUGCUCUCUACCUUCUGGGUGUGCUUCCCAGUUAACCCAAUCUAGAAACUUCCUCGAAGACAUACCCAGAGGCUUGUGGCUCUGACGAAUCUAGAUCCCGACAAAUUGAGGAUUUAUAGUGACAUCCCAAUCACUACAUAGUUCAGGCCUCCAGCUGUCUGUCCUGCCUCUGCUGUCUGUCCUGCCUCUGCUGUCUGUCCUGCCUCUGCUGUCUGUCCUGCCUCCAGCUGUCUGUCCUGCCUCUGCUGUCUGUCCUGCCUCUGCUGUCUGUCCUGCCUCUGCUGUCUGACCUGCCUCUGCUGUCUGUCCUGCCUCCAGCUGUCUGUCCUGCCUCCAGCUGUCUGUCCUGCCUCCAGCUGCCUGUCCUGCC